rnacentral:lncRNA from 10 species
GAGCCUCUUGCAUUGCCCACAAAGGAAGCAGAGAUUGAGGGGAGAAGAACUGGAGAAAUUAAAAAAGUGGAAAGAGACAGCAACACAAAUAAAGAGGUGGGUAAUAAUAUUGUACAUCUAAAAGCCUGGGGAGUGUGUCAUAAACAAAUGGGCUGCAAUGGUCAGUAGGCAAUUAUAUCCUGUUGCCUCAUUUAAAAUGCUGACUAAUUACAUAGAGCAAGAGGAAAUUAGCACAGGAACCUUAUUCUUUGCCAAGUCCACAUCAAAAUGCUGUAAAUGAAAAACAUGAAAUCAAUCUUCCAUGGCUUUAAAGAACUCAUAGUUCUUGAAGUUUAAACAUCUGCACAAAGUCCUCCAAAGUAUAAGACAACUUAAUGGAUAUUCAAAUCUCAGAAAUUAGACUUGUAAAAAAGCUCUCAGAACCCCUAAGGCUCUCACCUUUUUGUGAUCUGAACAGUCAGUUUAACAUUUUUUUUCUUUAAUCUGAUAUUAUUGUUUAAAUCCCUAAGUCUCAUUCUAUUUGCUUUAUGUCAGAUAAUAAUUUGCUUAUGUGGAUAAGUAUCUUCUUGGAAAGAAUUGUCUCCUGAAAUUUCUCUUGGGAUUAUGUUUGGCAUGUUCCAGGAUUCAACUGAGUUCUUGAAGUUCCCAUUCAAAGAGGUGCUGGGAAAUAGCAGAGCUGCAUUUUGUUUUUUAAACAACUUUUUCUGAAUAUAGAAUUUUUGAAAAUUGAAUCACUUUCUUCUAUUGAUAUAUAGCUUAAAGAUUUGUCACCACUAAAAAGAAAAUCAGUUCCCAAAAUAACUUAAAGACGUGUAAAUAGGCAUACAACUAAAAAAUCUUUAGUAAAUGUACCAAACCUUUGUUAAAAUACUCUAAAAUAUGUGUAAGCAUGAAAUAGUGGAGACAGUCAGGAAGCCAAACCUACAGUGUGAUCUUUAGCAGUGAGGUGGCCUGGGAAUCAGGCUUUGCCAGUCUUUGAUGGUGGUCAUCAAUGCUUUGCAAAAGGAUGCUUAAAAAUUCUGCUAUGCCUGUGUAGCAGAGGUUUUUGAGGGUUCGGCUCCAGGGUUCCAUCCUGGUCUCAAACACAGAGUGCCACUGCUUUUUCAAUGUGGAGUUUUUAAGCAAGAUUUCUUUUUGGAGGAAAUGAAAUAUUUCAUAAUCCUGUUGGUUUAAAAAUAUUUUUAAAGUGCUGAAUAAUAUUUCAUUGUCUGGAUGGACCACAGUUUAUUUAUCCAUUCACCUACUGAAGAAUAUCUUGGUUGC